GCCAAAGACAAUAUAAUAAAUGAAUUUUUGGAACAGGGAGAUGGAAUGGGAUCUUGCUCCAUCCACUCCAUGCAUCAACCUGGUAUUGCAGUACUUCCAGGAAUGGUGC
rnacentral:snRNA from 1 species